AUACGGAGGGUGCAAGCGUUACUCGGAAUCACUGGGCGUAAAGCGCGCGCAGGCGGCUAUUUAAGUUGGAUGUGAAAGCCUACGGCUCAACCGUAGAACUGCAUCCAAAACUAUUUAGCUAGAGUGUGGGAGAGGAAGAUGGAAUUAGUUGUGUAGGGGUAAAAUCCGUAGAGAUAACUAGGAAUACCAAAAGCGAAGGCAAUCUUCUGGAACACUACUGACGCUGAGGCGCGAAAGCGUGGGGAGCAAACGGGAUUAGAAACCCAGUAGUCC
rnacentral:rRNA from 1 species